CCGGGUUUUUUGUCACCUAUAGACGUCGCUGGCGCAUAGGACUCGCGAGCCGUUGUCAAGUAUAGGUGACUAUGGCGGUCAAAAGGAACUAGCCACCCCCUCUUCCCGUGGGUGUCGUAAAACAACUAAGGGAUAACAUAGUUCCACUACCACCUUGAAACUUAAAAAAGCCGACUGAAGCGGGAUAACCAUCCAAGCCAAAAGGAAUCAAGGAAGCCAAAAAUGGGCAGCAGCAUCUUCAGUACGACAAAGCCAGCCCUACGGUCACCAAUCCACCUGCCCAGCGUGUUGACUAUGGGCAAAACACAUGAGUUCACGCCAUUUAUGGCGCGAACUUGUGGAGGCCUAUGUCCAGCAGUGGACUACAAGUGGCUGAACCGAUGAUGAAUGAUAUCUCUUGUCAGAUCUUAAUACCUCUUCAAUUAAAUCUUUCGAUUAUAAAAAUUAUCAUUGAAAUCAGUUGGCCCUGUCAGUUCUGACGUGACAGAAUAUAUUUAAAAAAAAAAACAAUCAAAUUGAGAACCUCCUCUUCUUUGGAAGUCGGUUAA
rnacentral:misc_RNA from 1 species